GGCAAGAUGGCCGAGCGGUCUAUGGCGGUAGAUUCAAGAGAAGGUCCUCUUGUUCUCUUUCAAAGAGAAUCCUACUCCCGAAGGGGGCCGGGGUUCGAAUCCCCGUCUUGUCA